rnacentral:tRNA from 1 species
UCCCUGGUAGUCCACAGGCUAAGACUCUGAAUUCCCAAUGCAGGGGGCCUGGGUUUGAUCCCUGGUCGGGGAA